AUUGAACGCUGGCGGCAUGCCUUACACAUGCAAGUCGAACGGCAGCAUGAUCUAGCUUGCUAGAUUGAUGGCGAGUGGCGAACGGGUGAGUAAUACAUCGGAACGUGCCCUGUAGUGGGGGAUAACUAGUCGAAAGAUUAGCUAAUACCGCAUACGACCUGAGGGUGAAAGUGGGGGACCGCAAGGCCUCAUGCUAUAGGAGCGGCCGAUGUCUGAUUAGCUAGUUGGUGAGGUAAAGGCUCACCAAGGCGACGAUCAGUAGCUGGUCUGAGAGGACGAUCAGCCACACUGGGACUGAGACACGGCCCAGACUCCUACGGGAGGCAGCAGUGGGGAAUUUUGGACAAUGGGCGAAAGCCUGAUCCAGCAAUGCCGCGUGUGUGAAGAAGGCCUUCGGGUUGUAAAGCACUUUUGUCCGGAAAGAAAUGGCUCUGGUUAAUACCUGAGGUCGAUGACGGUACCGGAAGAAUAAGGACCGGCUAACUACGUG
rnacentral:rRNA from 1 species